ACACGACUACAUUAGAUACCCCCGUAGUCCUAGCCGUAAACGAUACUCGCUAGGUGUCGGCCACGGUGCGACCGUUGUCGGUGCCGUAGGGAAGCCGUGAAGCGAGCCACCUGGGAAGUACGGCCGCAAGGCUGGAACUUAAAGGAAUUGGCGGGGGAGCACAACAACGGGUGGAGCUUGCGGUUUAAUUGGAUUCAACGCCGGAAAUCUUACCGGGACCGACAGCAACAUGAAGGCCAAGCCGAAGACUUUGCCGGAUUAGCUG
rnacentral:rRNA from 1 species